AAUUAAUAUUUUAAAAUAAAUUAAAAUUAUUUAUUUAUAUUAACAGCUAUUUUUGCCGUUCUUUUCCAGAACACAAGAGGUACCAGUAACUGAAGACAUACAUUAGCCCAUGACUGCAUGUGCAAGUGUCUCUACUGCAUGCGGCUCCUUCUGCUCUUCUCCUUGCUGGACUAUUGGAAGGUGAGAGGGUGAGCAAAGGAGGUGUGCCUGAGGAUACACACUAAAUCCAUACAAAAAUGAAAACUGUGGUCUCCUCACAAGAAUUUUGCACAUCAGCAGGAGGAAGAAAAGAAAAGGAGAUUCAGAUGCAGAAUUAUGAAUUCAGACAUCUCAGAUGUGGGAGGCCUUCAGAUAAUCCAGGUCUGGACCUUCCACUGUGUGAGUGCAUAACCUCCACCAAUCGGUCAUGCUGUGUUGGCAACGCGUUUCAUGUAGCCAGUCCUGAACAAAACCAGGCACAACUACAGCAUUUUGAAUGCAGUUGUAUGCUUCCCAGACAGCCAUGGAGGGCACUAAAGAGACCUGCCUGAAUUACUGUCACCCCAAAACGAGUCCCCCUUGGCACUGAAUCUCACCACAACGCAUGUUCAAGGUUGCAGCUAUCAUUUCAAAACUUUCCAGGGGAAAGGGCCAAAUACCCUUACUUUAGAACAGUUUAAAUUUUUGAAUUGGUAGCCAGAGAGGAAAAAAGAACAUUGCCCCUACAGCCCCACCAAAAAUGUACAAUAGGCGAGUUAUUUCAAUUCUAAAAAAAAUUUUAAAAAAGCAGUCAGAAGUAAACAUUUAAUAAAAGAGUUUAUGAUAGUCUGA
rnacentral:lncRNA from 1 species